ensembl:lncRNA
GUCCCAUCAAUGUCCCCACAGGUGUCCCAAAGCCACCCCAGGGUGUCCCCUCCUGGUUGACCCCAAGCCACUCCUGGGUGUCCCAAGGAUGUCCCAGGAUGUCCCAAAGCCACCCCAGGGUGUCCCAGGAGCUCUCAGGGUGUCCCAUGGGUGCCCCAGACCCACCCGAGGUUGUCACUUCAAGGUGUCCCAUGGAUGUCCCAAAGCCACCCCAGGGUGUCCCAUGGGUGUCCCACAGAUGUCCCAGAGCCACCUCAGGUUAUCCCCUCCAGGGUGUCCCAUGGAUGUCCCAAGGCCACCCCAAGGUGUCCCAAAGCCACCAAUGGGUGUCCCAUGGGUGUCCCCUCCAGGGUGUCCCAGGGUGUCCCAGAGCCACCCCUGGGUGUCCCAAAGCCACCCCUGGAUGUCCCAUGGAUGUCCCAAAGCCACCUCAGGACUCUUCAGAGCCACCCCUGGGUGUCCCAGGAGCUCUCAGGGUGUCCCAUGGGUGUCCCAAAGCCACAAAGCCCCCCCAAGGUGUCCCAGAGCCACCACAGAUUGUCCCCUCCAGGGUGUCCCAAGGCCACCUGAGAUCUCCCAGGAUCCUUUAGGAUGUCCCAGAGCCACCCCAGGGUGUCCCAUCAAUGUCCCACGGGUGUCCCCAGGAUGUUCCAAAGCCACCCCGCAUUGUCCCCUCCAGGAUGUCCCAGGACCAUCGAGGCCACCCCAGGACCCUUUAGGGUGUCCCACGGAUGUCCCAAAGCCACCUCAGGUUGUCACCUCCAGGGUGUCCCAUGAAUGUCCCAAGGCCACCCCAAGGUGUCCCAAAGCCACCCAUGGGUGUCCCAAGGAUGUCCCAGGACCAUCCAGGCCACCCCAGGACUCUUCAGGAUGUCCCAGAGCCAUCCCAGGGUGUCCCAAAGCCACCCCAGGGUGUCCCACAGGGUGUCCCCUCCAGGAUGUCCCCUCCAGGGUGACCCAUGGAUGUCCCACAGCUACCUCACAAUGUCCCAAGGAUGUCCCAAAGCCACCCCACGGUGUCCCAGAGCCACCACAGGUUGUCCCCUCCUGGGUGUCCCAAAGCCACCCCAGGGUGUCCCAUGGGUGUCCCAGGAUGUCCCACGGGUGUCCCAGAGCCACCCCAGGGUGUCACUUCAAGGUGUCCCAAGGAUGUCCCAGGACCCUCCAGGCCACCCCAGGACUCUUCAGGAUGUCCCAAAGCCACCCAUGGGUGUCCCACCAAUGUCCCAAAGCCACCUCAGGACUCUUCAGAGCCACCCAUGGGUGUCCCAGGAUGUCCCACAGAUGUCUCAGAGUCACCCCAGGGUGUCCCCAUCUGGAUGUCCCAAAGCCACCCCAGAAUGUCCCAUGGGUGUCCCAUGAAUGUCCCAGAGCCACCCCAAGGUGUCCCAUAAAUGUCCCCAGGAUGUCCCAAAGCCACCCAAGGAUGUCCCAGGGAUGUCCCAAAACCACCACAGGUCGUCCCCUUCAGGAUGUCUCAGAGCCACCCCAAGGUGUCCCUUCCAGGGUGUCCCAAGGAUGUCCCAAAGCCACCCCUGGGUGUCCCAUAAAUGUCCCAUGGAUGUCCCCUGAAUGUCCCAAAGCCACCUCAGGGUGUCCCAGGAGCUCCCAGGGUGUCCCAGGGAUGUCCCAAAGCCACCAGAACCACUGAGGACACCCCGAGCCCCUCCAGGCCACCCCUGGGUGUCCCAUAAAUGCCCCAAGAUGUCCACGGGAUGUCCCAAAGCCACCCCAAGGUGUCUCCUCUAGGAUGUCCCAAAGCCACCACAGGUUGUCUCCUUCAGGAUGUCCCAAAGCCACCCAAGG